GCUGCACGCAUCUGUGAAUACCAACUGACCACGGCAAUCGAUGAUUUAAAAGACAGAGUGCAUACAGAGCGUAAUUUGGAUCCACAUCACAACAUAUUCGUCGUAGUGGAAAAUUCUACGCUAGACGAAUUCGGUGGGGAAAUUGAGUUUCGAGCUAAUCUAGAAAAACGAAUUUCGUCCGAAAUGAUCCGAUCAAGAAUGAAAGGGGAAAUCUACCAAGACCGGUCAGUUCUGCAAAUUCUACUCGUCCAUCUCGUUCUGAACAAUGACCAAUACACGUUUAAAACUGUAAAAUCUGCUAUGGACAAAGGCAUAUCUUCCGUCACAACUGACUCGGAUACUCGCAAACGACAAGACAGUGCCAUUUCGGACAGCAAAAUGAAAUCAAAUCGAAAAUGCUUCGAAACAGUACUAUUCCAAAUGACGGAAGCAAAACGUUUGAAGAAACUUACCAGGAAAAGCUACACCUUUGCGACAAGUUCAAAGUGCUUGCGCAGAUGAUCUGUGAUCUUUGGUUGGAUGAUGUUUCACUUGGGAUUUGUCUGUUGAACUGGGUUCUUUGCGAUCCUGACAGAGCUGUUGUUGUCAAGCGACUGGUGUACACAGAUGACAUAAGAAAGAUAAUAAUGAAU